rnacentral:rRNA from 1 species
GACGAACGCUGGCGGCGUGCUUAACACAUGCAAGUCGAGCGGUAAGGCCCUUUCGGGGGUACGACGAGCGGCGAACGGGUGAGUAACACGUGGGUGACCUGCCCUCAGCUCUGGGAUAAGCCUGGGAAACCGGGUACUAAUACCGGAUAUGACUCCAUGACGCAUGUUGUGGGGUGGAAAGCCUUGUGCGGCUGAGGAUGGGCCCGCGGCCUAUCAGCUUGUUGGUGGGGUGAUGGCCUACCAAGGCGACGACGGGUAGCCGGCCUGAGAGGGCGACCGGCCACACUGGGACUGAGACACGGCCCAGACUCCUACGGGAGGCAGCAGUGGGGAAUCUUGCGCAAUGGGCGAAAGCCUGACGCAGCGACGCCGCGUGAGGGAUGACGGCCU